AUUGAACGCUGGCGGCAGGCUUAACACGUGCAAGUCGAACGAUGACUCUCUAGCUUGCUAGAGAAGAUUAGUGGCGGACGGGUGAGUAACAUUUAGGAAUCUGCCUAGUAGUGGGGGAUAGCUCGGGGCAACUCGAAUUAAUACCGCAUACGACCUACGGGUGAAGGGGGCGCAAGCUCUUGCUAUUAGAUGAGCCUAAAUCAGAUUAGCUAGUUGGUGGGGUAAAGGCCCACCAAGGCGACGAUCUGUAACUGGUCUGAGAGGAUGAUCAGUCACACCGGAACUGAGACACGGUCCGGACUCCUACGGGAGGCAGCAGUGGGGAAUAUUGGACAAUGGGGGCAACCCUGAUCCAGCCAUGCCGCGUGUGUGAAGAAGGCCUUUUGGUUGUAAAGCACUUUAAGCAGGGAGGGGAGGCUAAUGGUUAAUACCCAUUAGAUUAGACGUUACCUGCAGAAUAAGCACCGGCUAACUCUGUGCCAGCAGCCGCCGUAACAC
rnacentral:rRNA from 1 species